UAACCUGCCCUUGACUUUGGGAUAACUUCAGGAAACUGGGGCUAAUACCGGAUAGGAGCUCCUGCUGCAUGGUGGGGGUUGGAAAGUUUUGGCGGUUGGGGAUGGACUCGCGGCUUAUCAGCUUGUUGGUGGGGUAGUGGCUUACCAAGGCUUUGACGGGUAGCCGGCCUGAGAGGGUGACCGGCCACAUUGGGACUGAGAUACGGCCCAG
rnacentral:rRNA from 1 species